AAGCGUUGUACAUCACAUUGGUAAGAUCUGAGACAUGGCUUGCUAAGGACUUGCAUUAUUACAGGCUAUAAUAAUAGGCUAAUGAAGACGUAAUUUAGUUGGAGCUGUUAUUACCACUGGGAGACCAGGCCCUGCUGCAGAAAUGAUUGGGGCACCUUCACUAAAUAAAAUAAGGUAAAACAAUUUAAAGUGAUGUGGCUGACAGAGGCUUAGCAGAGGCUCACUGGUUGAGCUGAGUUAAACAAAGGGCACAACAUUUUGUAGGUGUC